rnacentral:rRNA from 1 species
GACGAACGCUGGCGGCGUGCUUAACACAUGCAAGUCGAACGAUGAAGACGAGAAACGCGAACUUCGGUUCAAAUUUCACUUCGGAUUAGUGGCAGACGGGUGAGUAACGCGUGAGCAACCUACCUCUUACAAAGGGAUAGCCUCGGGAAACCGUGAUUAAUACCAUAUGACACAUUCAUAAGGCAUCUUCAGAAUGUUAAAGCUACGGCGGUAAGCGAUGGGCUCGCGUCCCAUUAGCUAGUUGGUGAGGUAACGGCCCACCAAGGCGACGAUGGGUAACCGGGCUGAGAGGGGGAACGGUCACAUUGGAACUGAGACACGGUCCAAACUCCGACGGGAGGCAGCAGUGGGGAAUAUUGCACAAUGGAGGGAACUCUGAUGAAGCGACGCCGCGGGAGAGAUGAAGGAAUUCGUUUCGUAAAGCUCUGUUCGAUGGGAAGAAAAGGACUGUACCAUAGGAGAAAGCCCCGGCUAAAUACGUG